rnacentral:misc_RNA from 1 species
UAGCUUUGGACCCGUGUCUGCCGGUAGAUCCCCCGUCUUCGUGCGGCCGACUACAGGCGCCGUGUCCCGUCGUUCGUUUGGCUUAUAUGAUGAUGUCGCCUUUCAAGUGCUUGCGUGCUGGUACCCGACCUACGGGAAGUGGUGCUUCUAACACGUUUGCCUCGCGGUGGACACCUUCGGGUGUGCCGCUGCGGCCUAACGGCGCUUGCGGCGUUUCCUCGUGGUUCCGGCACUCCUAGUGCCCGGUGCUACCAAGGCAGCCUCGCUCCCGCUGUUGGUCUCGGAUGUUGCUCACGAUAAAGAGUCUUGGCAACCUUUUGGUUGCCAGGACCUGACCCUUAAGAUGCUCUCCGAAUUUGAGAACAACCGUGAACAGGUGUUGCCUCUACCUCUCCACAGUUAGUGGUAGGAUACGUAACAUUCUGCGCCGAUCCUCAAUCAAGUAGGAUGAGCUUGGCCCGCUCAAUCGCGACAACCGGCUCGGCCGUUGCCUCGGCCUUGACACGCAAGUGGAAGGGCGGACAAAGACCGACGCUGGACGUCAACGAGGACAUGCUACCUGGGUGA